rnacentral:rRNA from 1 species
UACGUAGGGACCGAGCGUUGUCCGGAAUCAUUGGGCGUAAAGAGCGUGUAGGCGGCCACUUAAGUCCUGCGUGAAAUCUUGUGGCUCAACCGCAAGCGGUCGUGGGAAACUGGGUGGCUAGAGUGCGGGAGAGGAGAGUGGAAUUCCUGGUGUAGCGGUGGAAUGCGCAGAUAUCAGGAAGAACACCCGUGGCGAAGGCGGCUCUCUAGUACGGUACUGACGCUGAGACGCGAAAGCGUGGGGAGCGAACAGG